CAGCGCCACAAGUGGGAAUCGUAUUAUUGGGCCUAAAACGUCCGUAGCCGGUUUAGUAAAUGCCUGGGUAAAUCGUGUAGCUUAACUAUACGACUUCCGGGUAGACUGCUAAACUUGAGACCGGGAGAGGCUAGAGGUACUCCUGGGGUAGAGGUGAAAUUCUGUAAUCCUAGGGGGACCACCAGUGGCGAAGGCGUCUAGCUAGAACGGGUCUGACGGUGAGGGACGAAGCCCUGGGGCACAAACCGGAUUAGAGACCCGAGUAGUCC
rnacentral:rRNA from 1 species